CUUGAAUCUCGGCUGGAUUUAUCCUAUACUGUUGAGUGUUGGGCAUUAAGCCUGACUAUGACGCUAAACGUGGUUACGGAAUAAGCGUCGUGGACCCGGGGGCAGUACCCGGCGGCUCCACCACAAGCACAACUUCAAUUGGUGUGUUUCUGUGGGGCCGAAACAGGAUCGACACGCGUAAUAAAGGUAAUUUGCGGCGUUCGGGUAGAUACCCCCGUAUACAGGAUCAUUUAUUAUAGAUGCAAACGAUAACUUUGCUCCUAUGACUGCAGCUAACGACAAUGGCACAAUUGCUGCCGUUGCUGCUUAAGCGAGUCGCAUAAAUCCCUAGAGGUUUGAGUCUCUAGGUGGGGUUGGGGGGAUAACCUAGCAACAGAACCCCCCA
rnacentral:tmRNA from 1 species